GUGGAUUAGAUACCCUGGUAGUCCUAGCCGUAAACGAUGUGAACUUGGCGUUGGUGGGUUAAACUCCAUCAGUGCCGCAGCAAACGCGAUAAGUUCACCGCCUGGGGACUACGGCCGCAAGGUUAAAACUCAAAGGAAUUGACGGGGGCCCGCACAAGCAGCGGAGCGUGUGGUUUAAUUCGAUGCUACACGAAGAACCUUACCCAGGCUUGACAUACAGGUGGUAGAGAUCCGAAAGGUGACCGACCCGCAAGGGAGCCUGUACAGGUGUUGCAUGGCUGUCGACAGCU
rnacentral:rRNA from 1 species